rnacentral:rRNA from 1 species
AGAGCGAACGCUGGCGGCAGGCCUAACACAUGCAAGUCGAACGGAUCCUUCGGGAUUAGUGGCGGACGGGUGAGUAACACGUGGGAACGUGCCUUUUGGUUCGGAACAACUCAGGGAAACUUGAGCUAAUACCGGAUGUGCCCUUCGGGGGAAAGAUUUAUCGCCAUUAGAGCGGCCCGCGUCUGAUUAGCUAGUUGGUGAGGUAAAGGCCCACCAAGGCAACGAUCAGUAGCUGGUCUGAGAGGAUGAUCAGCCACAUUGGGACUGAGACACGGCCCAAACUCCUACGGGAGGCAGCAGUGGGGAAUCUUGCGCAAUGGGCGAAAGCCUGACGCAGCCAUGCCGCGUGAAUGAUGAAGGUCUUAGGAUUGUAAAAUUCUUUCACCGGGACGAUAAUGACGGUACCGGAGAAGAAGCCCGGCUAACUUCGUGCCAGCAGCCGC